rnacentral:rRNA from 1 species
UACGUAGGGUGCGAGCGUUGUCCGGAUUUAUUGGGCGUAAAGAGCUCGUAGGCGGUUUGUCGCGUCGGCCGUGAAAUCUCCACGCUUAACGUGGAGCGUGCGGUCGAUACGGGCAGGCUAGAGUUCGGCAGGGGAGACUGGAAUUCCUGGUGUAGCGGUGAAAUGCGCAGAUAUCAGGAGGAACACCGGUGGCGAAGGCGGUGGUCUGGGCCGGCACUGACGCUGAGGAGCGAAAGCGUGGGUAGCAAACAGG